rnacentral:lncRNA from 1 species
GCAAAACCAGUCCUCCACAGCGUUUUUUGGUGGAUUUCUUUUGAAUCUAGAAUUCUGUAGCUAACGCUUUCCUGAGACUUAGUCAAAAGCUUCACUCGGAAAAUCUAUGACCGUAGGGUUGGUCCGUACCACCUCCGAGCGCGGGGCCAAUGGUCGCGUCCACAAAGGGGGAAAGGUUCCGCGCCAAAGCCAAGAGGGAGACUCCGAGGGCCAGUAGCGCCGCGGGCUGUCGGCCACGUGAUUCCGCGCUGUUUAAAAAAGCGGACCUCGCGCGCACUGUGCUAGCCUUGGAACACAUGGAAUGCUGGUGAUUCUUGGAAUUCUGUGUGCGGAGUCACUGCUGCCCCUUUGUUAUCGCUCUCCAUAGGAACGUUUACAAUCUUAGCACGCCCCAAGCUGGUUACGAAUUGCCCACUCGGAGGACAACCCCGAAGGGAUUUGUCAAUGCUCGAAAAUUUGUUUUAAUAAUGUGAUGAUUAAUUCCGUCGGGAACUGUUUCUGUUCUACCAUCUGCUAUAAAUCUAGGCAGAUCUGUACAAUUGCAACAAAGAUUUAGCCAGGAUAAAUAGUUAUUCAAACCUAUGAACUAUCUGGAAGCAAAGGGACAUUCCUGAAAGAAAUUGCCACCAUAAAGCAGAAUGCCAGCCGCACAGUGCCUACUAGCUCAUAGCUAAACAACGGAGAACUGCAGCCUUGAAACAGUGCCCCAAAGAGUUAAAGAAGUCUGUGACUAACAAAUUCUUGAGUUUGCAGGAUAGCAGAUGAGAAAAGAAACAACUUGCUGAAACUCCCUCCACUUGUAAUAUUAAAAAACUGACUGAAAUUGCUUGCAA